AUUGAACGCUGGCGGCAGGCCUAACACAUGCAAGUCGAGCGGAUGAAGGGUGCUUUCUCCUGGUUUCAGCGGCGGACGGGUGUGUAAUGCCUAUGAAUCUGCCUCCUUGUGUUUUAUAACGUCCUCAAACGGGCGCUAAUACCGCCUACUUCCUGCUGGUGCUAGUUGGGGAUCUUCGGACCUCACCCUCUCUGAUGAUCCUAGGUCGGAUUAGAUAGUUGGUUGGGUAAAGGCCUACCAAGGCGACGAUCCGUAACUGGUCUGAUAGGAUGAUCAGUCACACUGGAAGGGAGACACGGACCAGAGGACUACGGGAGGCAGCAGUGGGGAAUAGUGGACAAUGGGGGAAAGCAUGAUACAGCGAGGGGGAGUGUGAGAAGAAGGUGUGGGGAGUGUAAAGAACUUUAAGUGGGGAGGAAGGGCAGUAAGUUAAUACGUAGCUGUAUUGACGGUAACAAGAGAAGAAGCACCGGCUAACUACGUG
rnacentral:rRNA from 1 species